rnacentral:rRNA from 1 species
CCUUGUACACACCGCCCGUCACACCAUGGGAGCUGACUCAACCAGAAGCCAGUAACGCUAACCGUAAGGGGGCGUCUGUCGAAGGUGGGGUUGGUGACUGGGGUG